rnacentral:rRNA from 1 species
AUUGAACGCUGGCGGCAGGCUUAACACAUGCAAGUCGAGCGGGGGAAGGUAGCUUGCUACCGGACCUAGCGGCGGACGGGUGAGUAAUGCUUAGGAAUCUGCCUAUUAGUGGGGGACAACAUCUCGAAAGGGAUGCAAAUACCGCAUACGCCCUACGGGGGAAAGCAGGGGAUCUUCGGACCUUGCGCUAAUAGAUGAGCCUAAGUCGGAUUAGCUAGUUGGUGGGGUAAAGGCCUACCAAGGCGACGAUCUGUAGCGGGUCUGAGAGGAUGAUCCGCCACACUGGGACUGAGACACGGCCCAGACUCCUACGGGAGGCAGCAGUGGGGAAUAUUGGACAAUGGGCGGAAGCCUGAUCCAGCCAUGCCGCGUGUGUGAAGAAGGCCUUUUGGUUGUAAAGCACUUUAAGCGAGGAGGAGGCUCAUUUAGUUAAUACCUAAAGAGAGUGGACGUUACUCGCAGAAUAAGCACCGGCUAACUCUGUGCCAGCCGCCGCGGUAA